UAUCUUUUUAAAAAGCGUUGAAGCUUUGUCUUCAGAAGAGUAAGAUAAAAAAUUUUAGUGAGAAGAGUCCAAUAUUGCAAAGUAAGUAUCAAGAAUUUUUAUUUUUUUAGAAAAUAUAAUGCUGAGAUUAGUAAAGAUGAGAUUUUUAUUAUAUGAGAAUUAAGCAGUCCUAACUUUGGAUGGAAAAAAGGCGUGAAGCAGGAAAUAACUUUUAGUAUACUGUCUGCCAACUCAGGUAAUAAUGUUUUAGAAAAUCAGGGAAAAGGAACUCGGCAAAUUUAGAUUUNNNNNNNNNNNNNNNNNNNNCGCCCUUCGCAAAGUUUUCUAACGUAUGAGGGGUCCUGCCUGCCCGGUGACUUUUAGUUUAACGGCCGCGGUAUCUUGACCGUGCAAAGGUAGCAUAAUCAUUUGCCUCUUAAAUAGAGGCUGGUAUGAAUGGCAAGACGGAGUCUGACUGUCUCUUUCUUGAUAGAUUUGAACUUAAUAUCUUUGUGAAGAAGCGAAGAUUUAAUCGUAGGACGAGAAGACCCUGUCGAGCUUAAACUAAGAAAAGUACAAAUACGAAAAAAGUUCUUUCUGCUAAUUUAUCUUUUGAAGAGAAAACAUUUACUUAAAGGAUAAGCGUGUCUUGUGUUUUAUGUUUUGAUUGGGGCAAUCACGGAGAAAAAACACCCUCCGUUGUANAAUAAUUAAUACUGUAAAGAAACUUCUUUGAAAUGUAAGAUUUACAUGUUUACUGAUCCACAAACGAAGUGAUCAAAGGAACAAGUUACCGCAGGGAUAACAGCGUAAUUUUUUUGGAGAGUUCAUAUUGAUAAAAAAGUUUGCGACCUCGAUGUUGGAUCGGGAUUUCCAGGAGAUGCAGCAGUUUCCAAGGGUUGGUCUGUUCGACCAUUAAAAUCCU
rnacentral:rRNA from 1 species